GACUUUCUACAAGCCAGAGAGGAGAUGGAGGAAGACAUGCCGUUUAAAAACAACUCGCAUUUUUAUAAUGCAUUCAGGAAAUAAUGGUAACAGCACAAAUAAUGUCAAACACAUUGCGCUGUAUUCUUGCAAGCUGUUCGACAUAUUGAUCAGAUUAGAUGAUCGAUAAUCGAUCAGUGUCUAAAAUGACAAAAAGCCUCCGGGAAAGGAAGUCGUACUGUAAGGACAAUUCAGGAUUACUGACGUUCUGUUUGGAUGGAACCGGGGCGACAGGGCCGGGUACGAGGACACCGGUGAAACAGCAAGAGCUUGGGGGAGCCUGCGGGGUUCGUGUAUGAAAUGCUUCAUUGGAGCUCAGCUGAAGCCCCACGGCUCACAAACACACACACAUACCGGAUCAUAUUGUGCCCCUGAAAUCCGCCCUGUGUCACCAUAGGAACACGGCUUGUUUCCAUGGUGACAAUUGAAGUUUGCAAUUAUGACCCUGCAUCAACAGCAAAAUCUGACAUUCAUCGCCGACUGAAAAGAAAAAGGUGUCUGUGGAGGUCAAACGAAAAUGUAGGAUUAAUAGUAAUUCCUAUUCAAGACACACAGAGACAGUUCUGUCACAGGUCUAUGAGGAUAUGACACUGAAAGGAAAAAGAGACAGAUGCAGAAAUGGAGAGAGAGAAAGGCGGUACGAUUGACUGACUCUCUGGGUGAUGUGAUGUGGCUUCGACUUCCUGCAUUGGUUCUUCUGACUCAAUUUAAAUACAGCCUCAAGCUAAAGAAACACAAGGGACUGUGUGUGCGUCUCUUUAUCUAAUAUUCCUUUGUUUUUUCCACAUUGUCAAGACACAAUGUGGGAGCUAGUAUUUAUCCUCUAAACAAUGCAACAGAUGGUUUAUUGAAACAUUUGAUCUGUCAGCCUGCUGCAGUACCACAAAAACAAACCUAAAUGGUUUAAUUUCCCACCUGACUCCAGUGUUUAGAGGUUAAGAAUCGUGUAAUGAAUUGUUUGGGUUUGUUAAACAGGACCUGGAGUUUUUGGUUGGUUUGUUUUGUCUAAUCUUGCCUAAAAUGAGCUGCACAUUUUUAUGGGUAUAAAAGACAAAAAUAAGAACAAAUAUUCUUCACUUAGAUCAUUAUUGCAAAUGUCAUUUCAGCCAGAAUCCGUGUGUUUCCCGCAGUUGCCAUAGAAACAUCCGUCUGCCAGACUGGAGCUUGGUCACACGGAAAAGUCGGAAUGAAAUGACUGAAGGUGAAUGAUCAAUGUGAAUGUGUGUCUGCAGGCAGUCAAAAUGAGAAAAAGAGGUCUAUGAAACAAAUGAAAAACAGCAUAAAAUAUCUACAGAGAUGUUUCUUGAUUUACUUCU